UUUGUUUAUUUCCUUUGUGUUCAAUAGUUGUAUGAGUUGAGUUUGAUGGUUGGCUAUUUGUGAUUUAUUAAGUGAUAUCAAUUUAUUAUGAACCCAUUAAUGAUCUUGGCAUAUAUGUAUGAAUUAAGAAAAGAUAUAAAUUGAAUUAGAAUAAAUGAAUGAGUUUGUUAUUAGAUUUAUAUGUGAGCGUAGUAAUGUCAGUGUGUGAAUAAAUAUGCAUAUAAA
rnacentral:lncRNA from 1 species